UCCUGUCUACCUCUCAAACUCCAUGAUUCAAGAUUCUUUCAGUGUCUAAAUCUUUUCUGUUCUUUAAAUUUCUCUGCAGCUCGGCAAUGUGUCACUGCAUUGUGCAGUCGUAAAAAUAAUAUUAAUGUUACGUGGUGCGAAACGAUGCUCAUACCACAUCCCGCGGAUGAAAAAUAUUGAAUGUGUCAACAUGUUCGAGGACUAAGAAGAGAGCGUCGUCAUUCAGCUCCUGGCCUCUGUAGACCAUUUAGGUACCUUUCUUGGGAGCAAUAUGAUAUUAAAAAAUCCAUAUGGAGCAACCUGGGUGAUGAUUUCCAUGGGGAAUUACCUCCAAGUAUUCCGGUAAUUACCCAAAGCGAAAAGGACUAUUAUGUUUGUGGAAAUAUUACGUGUUCCCAGGAUAUAUUCUGAUUUCCUCUGAUCUUCAGGUACUAGCUCUGCGUUGACCACCUACGUCUUCUGCCAGUGACACAUCCUGUGCCUUGGUUUCUCCAAGGAAAUAUUGAAACCCACACUGCAGUCAAAAGGAUUCAGAGAAUGACACGUACAAUCCUCAGCCAUUUGUGUGAGUCAAGCUCAUUGAUUGCCAGGCAAGAUGAGGUUAAUCUCCUCAACCCUCAGCCCCGGAAGGAACAACAAUGUGGAACAUGUAUCCUUGCCACAGGGGCACAGCUUUCUGGGCCAGAGGUAGACACAUCUCAAAGGGGAAACGAUUCAUAAUUAUGGCUGAGCCAAAAGAAGCUACCUUUUGGGAAUUUGUAAUUGAGAUUCUGAGGGACUGGCUAAGUUUGUGGCAAGCCAAAAAUACAUCAACACAGAGAAAGCAGAUGAGCUAGUUGCUGUACGACAGUCAAUGACCUCCCCGCCUUCAAGCUGCCUGACUGUUCUGGUUUGCAAAGUGCCAGAGGAGCACAAGACAGCCAUGAGAGGCUGUACUGGGUACAUCCUGACUGGUCCCUGCACCCAACGGCCCCUGGUCUGCAGAGCCCUGCCUUGCUGGGACAUGGAUGCUCUUAGGAGGGAUGUUUAUUGAGCAUCCACUAUGUGUCAGCCACAAGAGAUACAACGGUGAACGAGAUGGACAUGGUUCUUCCCCCAUGGAACUUUCUGCCUCAUCUCCACAAGUAAAACAUCACCAUGCCUUCAUUAGAAGGGUUGAUAUCUUCCUCCUUCCUGAUGGGCCCACAGCUGGAAUCUCCAGAACUGCUCCCCAAGUCAGUUUGCACACAUGGGCCAACUCCUCCAUUAAGAGAAGAACUUGCCAUCUGAUUAAUUGCUUGGCAAUUGACCUCCUAUCAACCAAUCAUCUGUCGUGAAGACACUGCUGUCAGCAGCGUUCAAUCACCACAUGUCACUGAUGGCUCCCUACCGUACAUUACUGUAAAACUAUAUCACUUCUCACAUGAGGAUUAAGUCAUCCAAGCAGAAGCUUGAAGACUUUGCCAAGAGCCCUGACGGACUCCAUUUCAACCCCCCUGGGUGAAAGAGGCUUUAUUAGGAGAUCUGAUGUUUCCAGUUCUCCUUGGCUGGAAGCUCCUGCUGGACAGCUGACGAGGAGAUGUGACAGGUGUUUGUGUCUUCCUCAAACACUUGGGUCUUUAACAGCAUUGGAGAACCCUGUCUGCUUGGCCACUUGGCAGAAUGCAUUUCCCGGAAGUGCAUUCUGUGCUCUGAGGUUGUGAAUCCUGAGAAGUGAGAACAACAAGCUGUGACCCUUUCUCUAGAAGGCAAGAGUGCUUCCAAGCCAGGGCAGCUGGUGCUAAUUAAUAUCUUCUGCUUGGUCAGCUAAAUCUCCUUUUGAUAUAAACAACUCUGAUCAUAUCAGCAAGCCAGCAGGGAAGACAGACAUAUGGAGUUAAGGCCAACCUUAUAUAUAUUUUCCUCUCUCAAGGCCCCUCUCUUUCCCCUUGGUGCCCCCACCAGUUUUAAAUGCUUUGAUUAUAGGAACAAGCUCUUAUGCUACUCCUGCUUCUACUUCUCCUUUAAAGGAUUAUAGAAAACA